GUGAGGAAUUUUGCGCAAUGGGGGCAACCCUGACGCAGCGACGCCGCGUGGAGGACGAAGUCUUUCGGGAUGUAAACUCCUGUCAGUGGGGACGAUAAUGACGGUACCCACAGAGGAAGCACCGGCUAACUCCGUGCCAGCAGCCGCGGUAAGACGGAGGGUGCAAGCGUUGUUCGGAAUUACUGGGCGUAAAGCGUAUGUAGGCGGCAAGUUAAGUUCAAUGUUAAAGCCCACGGCUCAACCGAGGAGAUGCAUUGAAUACUGGCUAGCUAGAGGGUGUUAGAGGAAGACGGAAUUCCCAGGGUAGCGGUGAAAUGCGUAGAUAUUGGGAGGAACAUCGGUAGCGAAAGCGGUCUUCUGGGACAUACCUGACGCUGAGGUACGAAAGCGUGGGGAGCAAACGGGAUUAGAUACCCGAGUAGUCC
rnacentral:rRNA from 1 species